AUUGAAGAUGACCCCAACAAAUGGAAAGAUAUACUGAGCUCAUAAAUUGGAACAACUAGUAUUGUUAAAAUGUCCAUACUACUCAAAGCAAUCUAUAGAUUUACUGUAAUCCGUGUCAAAAUACUGACAUUUUUCAUAGAAUUAGCACAAUACUAAAAUCUGUAUGGAACUACAAAAGAUCCCAAACAGCCAAAGAAAUCUUGAGAAAGAACAACAAAGGUUGAGGUAUCACAAUCCCAGAUUUCAAGGUGUAUUACUACAAAGCUGUAGUAAUCAAAACAGUAUGGUACUGGCACAAAAACAGACACAUAUAGAUCAACAGAACAAAGAGCCCAGAUAUAAAUCUAUGCUUAUAUGGUCAAUUAAUCUUUGAUAAUAGAUGCAAAAAUAUAUAAUGGGGGAGAAGGACAGUCUUUUCAACAAAUGUUGUUGGGAAAACUGGACAAGCUACAUGCCAAAGAAUGAAAGUGGACUGCUUUCUUAGACCACACACAAAAAUAAACUCAAAAUGGAUUAAAGACCUAAAUAUGAGACCUGGAACCAUAAAACUCCUAGAAGAAAACAUAGGCAGUAUUUCUUUGACAUCAGCCACAGAAACAUGUUUCUAAAUAUGCAAGGGAAACAAAAGCAAAAUCAAAAUGUUGGGAUUAUACCAAAAUAAAAAGCUUUUGCACAACAAAACAAAAACCAGCAAUAAAACAAAAGACAAUCUACUGGAUGGGAGAAGAUACUUGCAAAUGAUAUAUUUGAUAAAGGAUUAAUAUCAAAAUAUAUAAAGAACUUAUACAACCCAGUACCAAAAACCCCACAAAUAAUCCAAUUUAAAAAAAGAAACAAAAAAUCAACAACAAAAGAUUUAUGGGAGACACCAAUAUUUAAGUGGCAGAGAAUUCCACAGAAGACUGAGACUAAGCAGUCAUAAAGAUAGAAGCAGAACCUAGAGAACAAAGUCAUGGAAACCAUGGUAGCAGCGCAUUUACAAAAAAGGGUGGGAUGAAAAGCAUCAAUGGACAGUGGAUGGAGUGAGGAGAUUCAAAAUGGACUGGAGAUUCAAAAUAAUCCACUGGUUUUUGACAAGUGAACAGUCUGGUCAGAUUUUCACAGUACCAAACUAUAAGCAUUAUUUCUAACAGCCAAGACAUGGAAACAAACUAUCCACUGAUAGAUGAAUGGAUCAAGAAUGUGUGAUAUAUACAAUCUGGUUUAUACAAAUGGAAUAUUAAUCCAACAAUACAAAACAAGAAAAUCUUGUCACCUGCAACAAGGUGGAUGGACCCUGAGGGCAUUAUGGCAAGUGAGGAGCUAGGAGAAUGAGAUUAUGGAGAAGAAAAGAAUGGGGUCAGAAAUUCCUAGAGGACAGAGAGAAAGCUAAAGAAAAAAGAUUAUGGAUCUUCAGAGGCUUUGUGCCAUUAAAAAAAUAACAACAGAACCAACAGUUCCAGGUUAUAGUUUAGACUACCACCAACUCAGGUAAGAUUCACCUUAUUUCAUCAACUCUAAGAUUCACAUUUUUAGAAACUGUCAUAUCAGUGAAGUCAAGAAAUUUUUUGAAAUUUUUGUUUGCUUUUGCAACUGAUGGCAUCCUAUGAACUGCAGUCAGCCAGGUAGCAGGGAUGACAUAGCUUUUAUUGCCUGCACAUGUACAAACUUGGUCGAAGCUAUUCAUCUCUGUCAUUUCGACACUGUGUAUAUGUUGCAACUAUGGGCUGAGUUUGAAUGAUAUUUAAAACACCUUAAAAUAUUACAUUAUAAUUUGGCGUGGAAAAAAAAAGUUACGAUCUGGAAAGACAAAGAAA